UGCCGUGACGUAUAGCCUUGGUUGGGGAAGUUUCCUUUUUGGGGUGAGGGCUCGGUGGGACAAACGAGCCCCUGAUUGCUCGCUAGAUAGGUCCAAAAGAUUUUAGAGUAGAUUCGGCAGUCUCCAGACAGCAAUUUCAGUGGGAGGACACAAUGUUUCGAUUCGUCUAGGAGCUCUGCACUGGAGUGCUACCUAUGUGGUCUUAAGAUAUGGUAAUUACUAGGUUGGACUGUAGUGGUUUCACCCAACACUGGACUCUAUCAAUAGAACUUUUUAUUUCCCUAUCUUAGUAAUUUUUCAAUGCAUCAAAUCGAUACAAAUCAGUUCAGGAGGAAAGAUCAAGGAUUAGUUGGUUCUGAAGAAGUUCAUCACAUUGUUAUCUACGCUAGGUUAAAAGCUUUUUCUUCCAUGUUGUUCAAGCUCAAAGAGAGUAGGACACAUGUUUGUACAUAAUGGGGUUUGACCGUUUGAGGUUAUGUGGAAUCUCAUUUGCCCAGCCUAAAUAUAAAAAAAUCAGAACUUUAAACUUAGCUGUUGGAGAAAGUCUAACUUUGACCACCAACAAUAAUAUUAGUCACUGAUUAUUGUCCUGUCAAGUGCAAAAAAACUGAAUACUUUGCUCUCUCACGGAUGAAUAAAAGCUUUGACGAUGAUUUUGUUUACUCUGCCAGCUGAACACCCACUGUAUAUAGUACUACCAAUGUCUAUAAAUAAACGUCUAAGAUUUGUUUAAAUCUAAAUGUAUCUAAAGUUCUAAACGCUAUUUAGCGGCUAGAUACAUUCAAAUUUAGAUAAAUCUUAGACGUCUAUUAAUAGACGGAGGGAGUAUGUUUUUUCUCUGUUUUUGUGUUAGAGCUACACACUUUGUCAUUAGACCUUCUGAAGGUGCACUGACUUGAAUCUUGACUACGAAAUUGUCGAUCAGAACAAGCUCAAGGCUUCCACUUCCCGUGGUGGAAGAGCUAUACGCCAGGGCCGUGGCCACGGUACAAUGACUAUGAUGAUGUGCGUGUGGAGAGGUCUAAAGGCAAGUGCUAUGUUUUCAUGUUCACAUUGUGCAGUCAAUGCUUAGUUUUAUUUUUAUUAUUUAAUUCCUAUUUCAGAUGCGCUGGUUCUUGCAAGCGAGCUAUCAUACGGAGGCAAUUGGGUACACAAUACUCGCAUGGUUCAUCGUUUCAGAGGUAUAUCUCUGAUGUUCGGAAAGCUUACUGCUAUUUUUUCUUGUGGUUCUAUAGGCCAUGCUCUAGACAAAGAAGACAUGUUUCAAAUGUAUUUAUAUGCUGAUUCAUGGCAAUUUCGUAUCCUUUAUGACUUUUGCUAAUGUAUAAAUAUGUUUUUCUUGUAAAUGAUUCGAGUUCCAAAA